AUUCCAUGGGGAGUAGUGAAAGAUCUGACUGCCAGGGUCCCCUCCCUGCACCCUUGGCAUCCCCUGGGGCUCCAGUACCUGCCGUGAUGGGCAGAACGGGGGCGGUGCUGGGCGGUGCCCCGGUGCUGGCUCCUUGGCCAGCACCCAACAGCUACCCGCCCAGGGGCUUGAUUGUUGGGAGUGCUGCUUGCUAUCUGUGGUUAUGGUCUGACAUUUCAAGCUGAGACC